AGAGUUUGAUCCUGGCUCAGGACGAACGCUGGCGGCGUGCCUAACACAUGCAAGUCGAACGGAGAAUUUCAAAGAGCUUGCUCGGAGAAAUUUUUAGUGGCGGACGGGUGAGUAACGCGUGGGUAACCUACCCAUAAACCCGGGACAACCCUUGGAAACGAGGGCUAAUACCGGAUAAUCUUUUGGUUUGGCAUCAAACUUAAAGAAAAGGUGGCCUCUGAAAAUGCUACCGAUUAUGGAUGGACCCGCGUCUGAUUAGCUAGUUGGUGGGGUAAAGGCCUACCAAGGCGACGAUCAGUAGCCGGCCUGAGAGGGUGAACGGCCACACUGGGACUGAGACACGGCCCAGACUCCUACGGGAGGCAGCAGUGGGGAAUCUUCCGCAAUGGACGAAAGUCUGACGGAGCAACGCCGCGUGUAUGAUGAA
rnacentral:rRNA from 1 species